UACGUAGGGUGCGAGCGUUAAUCGGAAUUACUGGGCGUAAAGCGUGCGCAGGCGGUUUUGUAAGCCAGAUGUGAAAUCCCCGGGCUUAACCUGGGAAUGGCAUUUGGGACUGCAAGGCUGGAGUGCGGCAGAGGAGACGUGGAAUUCCUGGUGUAGCAGUGAAAUGCGUAGAUAAUCAGGAGGAAUACCGAUGGCGAAGGCAGGUCUCGUGGGACUGAC
rnacentral:rRNA from 1 species